rnacentral:rRNA from 1 species
AGAGUUUGAUCAUGGCUCAGAUUGAACGCUGGCGGCAUGCCUUACACAUGCAAGUCGAACGGCAGCACGGGAGCUUGCUCCUGGUGGCGAGUGGCGAACGGGUGAGGAAUACAUCGGAACGUGCCCGAGAGUGGGGGAUAACGCCGCGAAAGCGGCGCUAAUACCGCAUAUUCUCUGAGGAGGAAAGUGGGGGACCGCAAGGCCUCACGCUCACGGAGCGGCCGAUGUCGGAUUAGCUAGUUGGUGGGGUAAAGGCUUACCAAGGCGACGAUCCGUAGCUGGUCUGAGAGGAUGAUCAGCCACACUGGGACUGAGACACGGCCCAGACUCCUACGGGAGGCAGCAGUGGGGAAUUUUGGACAAUGGGGGCAACCCUGAUCCAGCCAUGCCGCGUGCGGGAAGAAGGCCUUCGGGUUGUAAACCGCUUUUAACCGGGAAGAAAAGGCAUCUCUUAAUACGGGGUGUUCUUGACGGUACCGGUGGAAUAAGCACCGGCUAACUACGUG